GACGAGGGAUCGGCGCCAUUUCUCAUCAGUUCUACAGCCAAGUAACUGUUGGCAGGUUUAUACAAGAGGGAGAUGUUAGUGUGACGAGGAUGAUGGUGAGGAUGUGAUCCUGAACAUCACAGGGCAAGAUUUGGAUUCUGUCAAAAAUGACUAAGUGUAGUUCAUGUCACAGCACGACUUUGUGACACUGCAGUUGUUGAUACACAAGGGAUUAAACCUUAUGUAAAAAGCCUGAUACAAUUACUAUUCUGAAGUUUUAUUAAAGACAAUCUGAGCAAUAGUUGGUGCAGUAUUGGCCACCUACAGUAUCUGAUCAGGGAUUCUAAAAUAACCUCCAGUCUCUCUUUUUCAACCUCACAUUCCCAGAGUCUGCAUGAACUAACAAACCCCGAUUGUUCCAGGAAAGUGACUCGGGAGCCAUGACUGAUUCCGACAUCCCUCAGGUGUUGCUGUGAAUGUGAAAUAAAGGUGCAUUUUGUGAAAGGCGUAUUUACCCGUUCAUGAUCAUGGCAUCCAGCGUGGUUUCUCCUUUCUCAUCUGGGCUGCCUCCGUAGCCCACACUGCCGUCACACUGCUCAGCUUCACAGCGGGUGCAUCCCUGCUCCACGGCAUCCAACACUGAUCCACCGGACUGCAGGACUUGCCAGGCUACAUGAGGACAAAAGGACGGGAGGAAAAAAAAAGGAUGCUGGUGGCAAGAUGGAAGUACCCUGAGGGGGGGCAGAUCCAACCCCGUCUUAUAAGACAUAGGUCUUAUGUUGCCUAUGUGUGCUUCAAGUGUUGAGGUUGGGAAAUAAAAUAAAAAAUGUAAAGGAACCCAUGCACACAUGGGAAGAACAUGGGAACUUCAUCCAGAAGAACUCUCUCUGAACUGGAUAUUAAAUGGUGGUGUCAUGCAGCCAACAGUGUUUGGUAAUGUUUCUACAACAAGUUUCAAUCUUCACCUGUUUUAUUUUAUAACUUUUUAUAUUGUAUAACUUGCUAAAAGCAGUGAUUUUGUACUUGGCUAUUAAUAAUUUCACAUGUUUUAUGAAAUGUCCACUUUGGUGAAUUUCUAAUAGUGAGUGGGAGCCAACAAGCAUUUGGUCAUUGAUCUCUGCUGAUCCCCCAACUGCCCAUGGGGGAUCAGAAUACCAACUGCUAUCACUGUCACCAGAUUGCCACUAAAUCAUCUGACCACUGCUUUGUUCAGCGGGAUGCUGCCAGAAAAUCCUGUUCUUAUCAGUGAAGAUUCCCCAUUUGAAAUUCCACAGUCAUUGGUAAACACUCUUUUCUCUGCAUGUGUUAUUUUCUAAGCUAAACUCCACAGUACAGUGCUCCUUAUUUAAAAAAAAAAAAGAAAAGCAGCAGCUGAGUGGAAGGGUAGAUCAGCAUGCGGCCACUAAAUCCACCUGCAGAACAGACAGCUGGGUGUAUUUUUCAUUUUCACAGAUGCCUUAGGUAAAAAGAUGUGACAGCCAUCUGAUAAAUUAAAGGACAUCCAUCUUCCCAAUCUUUAAACUCACGUAAAUCACUAACAGGUUUGAUCUAUAGCCUUUGAGAUCUUCGGGAAACAUGGUUCGUACCCAUAUUUCCGUCCCUCAAGUGUGUUUUUUGAGUUAUGCACCUUGUAGAAAAACCACUUGGCUGCAAAGCUGAAAUAUUUUCAGUUUCAAUUUCAACAAGUCCAAUGUGUCGCCCUGAAGGGAAUCAAAUGGAGAGAGGGCAGAGCUGGCGGUGGCAGUUAUGAGCUGAGAGGUUCCUGCCAAUUUUCUAUCGGCAUUUGAGACUUGAUGGGCUUACGGUUAAGCUGCGCUGGAAUCUUGAGUGCAGGAGAAAAAAAAAUCUUUAUAAAUAAAUACAUAUACAAUGUAUUCAUGCAUGCAUACAUACAUAUAUAUAUAUACAUACAUAUAUACAGUAUAUGUAUGUUAGGGAUGUAUGUACACUAUGUCUACAUGCAUUUUUUAUCUAUAUAUACAUAUACCGUAUGUGUACAUAUGCAUAUAUACAGUAUAUAAAAGGCUAAAUCCUUGCCUUUUCUGAGUUUUCUCUCAAUUAUUCAUAGCCACACACACACAGACAAACUCCCAGACUCUGCUCGCCUGAUGCAUUUCUUGGAAUGUAUUUGUCAGACUGACUGUUAUUUUCAUUAGAAAUGAUUCUAUUAACUUGGAACAGUGACAAUAUUUUCCCAAAACCAAAUCACAUUUUUUUAGGCCCCGGACAUGCAGGAAUACUAAUGAAACCGAGCCAAACAAAUCAACAUUGAUGAGAGCAGGUCCAUAUUACGUGCUUGCAAAUGUUCCCAUCAGUGCCACAUUGUGUGUACACAGUACAUGCAUUUCCGUUUAAAUAUACAAGACAUUGCAUGUUACUCAAGCAAAUGCAGAUUUUUGAAGAUCAGUGUAGAGCCAUGCUGUAGUUUUUUUUAGGGACUUCGGCCGCUCUUUUCUCCAGUAGAUCCCUACUUAGGACUUGUCGGAUAAUCACGUCACUAAUAAACAAAUGUCAUAAGCUGUAGUAUCUUUUUAUAAUGUUGGUUCACUUGGACAUUUUCAAUGGGGAAAGAGAGAGAGAGUAACCUGAGAGCAAUGGGUCAAUGUUAGUCGUGUUGAAGCAGCUGCAGCCAUAAAACAGUGGCAUAUUCAGUGAGUUAUUCUUAAUUUAUUUAAUUAACUUGAGCCAACAUGAUGUUAUUCUUUAACUGGAGUUAAUAAAUAUAGCAGAAUUCUAAAUAUUGAGGUUUUACAUUUAAAUUGAUCAAAAUGUGUUUUACUACUAACAACAAGAACAUGCAUUUUUAGGUUUUCUUUUGUUGUUACCUGCACACAUCAUGUAAAGUCAUUGUGCUGCUGGAGAAUUUUACAAAAUAUUAAUUGGACAAUUUCUGUAAAAGACAAGACAGUCAACAGAGCCGAAGGUCAACACAAUCCUCCUAUAUUUGUCCCCAACGACAGCUCAAUUUUAUUGACACUUCUGCAGGUUAUUCUACAUUUUCAGGGUUUUUACAACUUGAGAAGAUGUCUAACAGAGAAUGAUAACUACUUUACUGGUCUUUACUGACCGAAUGGUUUAAACCUUCAAAUACUUUUACUUCAUACUUCUCAGCACCUUUAUCUUUUAUCAGUAUUUUUUUAUGUAUUCCUGCUUUAACAGGGACAGUUUGCAUUCAUAUUCAAGUUAAAACAUUUUAGAAAGUUAUUUCAUAUUUUAACUUCUAAGUGCAGAAACUACCUUGAAAAAGUUUUACAAUGUAAAAAAUGUCCAAUUUGGAUUCUUCUCACCCAAAAUAAAAGUCUCAAGGAAUUUAAUUAAUUGUGUCAAUGUUUCCCUAACUCCUAAACCCUUGAAACAGAUACAGUCUAGUAAUGCUGAUCUUGCACAAUGCAAUAAUGUUUUACAAAAAUGUCUCCCUUGGAAUAACUUUUAAGUAAAUCAAUUUUUACUGCGGUCAUAAUAAGACCUGUUUUACAGCCUGUAGGCUGAUUGUCACUCUUGACAUUACAAUAAAAAGUGUUUAAACUGCUUUAUUGCAUUAUUCGUGGUUUAUGUCAGUUAUAAUGUGACAUUUUUAUGAGACAGUAUCCCAGUAAUGUAAAUGUCAAGCAAACAAAAAAAA